CCCUUAGAUGUUCUGGGCCGCACGCGUGCUACACUGAGUGGAUCAGCGGGUCAGGUUGCGCGAAAGCGUUUCCUAAUCUUUAAAUCCGCUCGUGAUGGGGAUUGACGGUUGCAAUUUUCUGUCAUGAACGAGGAAUACCUUGUAAGCGCGAGUCAUCAUCCCGCGCUGAAUACGUCCCUGCCCUUUGUACACACCGCCCGUCGCUCCUACCGAUUGAGUGGUCCGGUGAGGCUUUGGGAUCUGAGCGGAAAGAGCGUUUCGCUGUUUCUGCUCGGAAAACUCAGUCGAACCUUAUCAUUUAGAGGAAGGAGAAGUCGUAACA
rnacentral:rRNA from 1 species